UCCUGGUGGCUCAGAUGGUAAAGCAUCUGCCUGCAAUGCAGGAGACCCCAGUUCAAUUCCUGGAUUAGGAA
rnacentral:tRNA from 1 species